UCCCUCCCCUGCUCGGAUUACCAUUCCAAACUUCGGAGGGAAACCGCCGUCAAAACCCCACCAAAACCUUUCUCCGAUCAAACCACCCCCAAAAUUUCUUCAAAAAAUGCGCCGCCGGAGCCUAAUCAUCGCCCCCGACUCCGACGAGGAAGACGACGCGGCAACUCCUGCCUCCGCCACCACCUCUCUUUCCGUUGCCAGCGGCGGCGGCGGCGGCGGCGGAAGCGCCGGCCGGCCCUCGUCCCAAAACCCUAGCCCAUUCCCCUACGCAAUCUCGUCCUCGCCUCCCCCCUCCCCUCCCGUCGAGAUCUCCGAUGACGACGAGGAGGUCGAGGAGAUCCAGGACCCCGACGAGGACUGCCCCUUCGACGACGCCCCCGACGAGAUUCGGGACUCUGACGGGGACUCCCUCUUCACCGAUGUCGCCGACGACCUCUCCCCACCAUUCACCGCUCCGCCCCAAAUCCCAUGCCCACCUCCCGCUCCCGCUCUGGCACCGGCUCCGCUGUACCGAACCCCAACACCAACUCCACCUCCAGCACGAACCCCAAUCUCAGCUCCAUCGCCGGCUGCCGCGCCCACGCCACCUUCACGAACCCCAACCCCAACUCCCCCGCCGGCUCCUCUGUUCCGAACCCCAACCCCAACUCCACCACCGGCUCCCACAUCCGCUCCUCUGCUCCGAACCCCAACCCCACCUCCCGCUCCUCUAUUCCGAACUCCAACACCAACUCCACCUCCCGCCCCCGCACCCACUCCACCGGCCCGAACCCCAACGCCAACGCCACCGCCCGCUGCCGCCGCGCCCACUCCGGCCCGAACCCCAUCUUCAACCCCAAUCCAGGCCUGGACCCCAACCUCGACGCCGCCCACGGCCUCGCCGUCUGCGCUCAGCAUGCGGCUGCGGCCGGUGGACGCGUUCCUGCGGCGGCUCAGGGUGCGCGUGCGCCCAGAGUGGCUUGAAUUUUGCGCUGCGGAGCUGCCUGGGUUCAGCGACGGCGGCACGGAAGCGCAGGGCAGACGCUGCUUCGAGCAGUUCCUCUUUGCUGACAUGAAUGUGUGCGGCGCCGGUGUGCUCCCGGCGGGCGUUGCAGGCAUGGACGCCGCUGUCCUCGACGGGCCAUUUGUUCUACAGGUUGAUGAAAUUGUCAACAUGUCAAAUCCUUUGAGGGAAAGAUAUUGUGAUGCACAGGCGGGGCCCAAAAGAUGUUUAAAGCUAUCAAUGACAGAUGGCAUUCAACGGAUAUAUGGAAUGGAGUACAGGCCUAUCAAAGACCUGCAAGUUCUUGCUCCUGUUGGUUUUAAGAUUGUUAUAAGAAAUGUGCACAUAAAGAGAGGGCUUCUUAUGCUAGUCCCUGAAGUUAUUGAGAUUCUUGGUGGGGUGGUUGAUGAAUUGGAAGCAGCACGUGUCAGACUUGUUUCUGAAGUAAAUAAACCACCCCGUGGCAAAAGGAAGCAAGGUGGAUUACCUUUGUCCUCCAGAGCCACUGUAGCUGCCUGGCCAGGUAAUGUAAGCGUUACAAAUGGUGGUGAGCAAGGUAUCUCAAUACCAAGAGCAGUAAACUCCUCUCAUCCAAUUGGAUUAGGUAAUGCCUCUCAAGUUGUUAGAACUACAGAAACCAUGGUAGAAGAGCGUAUUAACCCUCCUGUCAUAGUAAAUGGUGUCCAACAGCAAAGUCAGCAUUCCCACGAAUUCACCAUGCAAGAUCGAUCUGCUUCUCAAGUUGUUAGAACUACACAUACCAUGGUAGAAGGGCGUACUAACCCUCCUGUUGUAGUAAAUGGUGUCCAACAACAAAGUCAACAUUCCCAAGAGUUCACCAUGCAAGAUCGAUCUGCUUCUCAUACUAGGGACAACGCAGAAGCUUCUGCACCUGCUACCUAUAGAUAUGAACCCCAACAAAGCACUAGCAGAACUACACGGACGGUUGAAGAAUAUGUUGACCACCCUAUUGCGGCGAACAAUGUCCAUCAACAAACACAGCGUGUCCAGGAAAUCACUAUGCAGGACCAAGCUACUAGGAACCAAGGAGAACCUUCUGCAUCUACUCCUUGUGGACAUGAUACCCAGCAAGGGCCACGAGAUAUUGGUGGAACUAGUGCUAAUGGUGUCGAGAUUGCACAGUCUUCAACUGUUGAAGAUAAGAUUAAUCAGAUUGAACAUCCUGUCAUUCUAAGUGGUGAAAAUGAAAAACCAUUUACAUACCUUUUCCACAUGAUGUCAGAUUGGACCAUAGAAAAGGAUACACGACCCUAUAUUCAAGGAAAAAUUAAGGGUCUGAUCACCGCAGUCAAGCGAUUUCAAUAUAAGCAACGGAAAGAGUAUGAGCUUCAAAUUUGGAUAGAUGAUGGAAGUCACAUUUCAGAGGCCUUUCUUCACAGUGAUGUUAUACAGAAUAUAAUUGGUCACUCGUGUGAGGAGAUGAAUGCUGCUGUUUCUGACCCAAACCCAGCAUCAGCCCUUGCCAUAAAAGAAAUUAUGAAUGGAUUCAAGCACUAUUUGACAAAAUUUGAGGGUACAAUGUUUAUUGAGUUCAACCGAAAAUCUUCUGCACCUAUUGUGCGUGAGAUGAAUGAAGGUUGUUCGGCUUCCGAUGCAUGGCUCCUACUUCAGAGGAUGAAAACAUAUUCUGCUCAAAGGCACAUCCGAAGUUUGGACUUUAUGGAUACCACUCCAUGAUGCAUGGCCAAUGCAAAGCUGCAUCAUCGUGGUUUUGAUAUUCCAGACCAAGUACAUAUGUGAAAUUAUUCAGCUCAAGGCUUAAGAAGCAUUCAGUUCCUCCUUUGUAGGACUCAUGCCAUGGGCAGGCACGAUACAGUUAGAUGAUGCAACAUCAUACUACAACACAGUAGAGUGGACAGCACAACGGGCCACUCCUAGCGGCUCCCAGGUCCAGCCAAAGAUUCCAGCUACCUGAUUUCACCCGGCCCUGAUCUCUGGUGUCUCUGGUGUCUGCAGUGACGCCGGCUGGGUGAACCAGCGCACACCUGGCAUGUCGAGGAUCGUUUUGCCCAGUGUGUCGGUCGUCGCAGGGCCAACAGAAUCCACGGUCAGGAGCCGGGAGUUCCAGGCCAGGAUAUCCGGGAAGAAGACCCUGAACAUGUACACUGCCAGGUACCACCUCGGCUCGAACACGUACCUUGCUCCCCGGCACACAUCCCUCACCACUCUCUUGGCGAAAAGGGCUACCGGUUCCGCUGGUGUUGGCCCGAGGACUGCCUGCGAUCACAAUUAGCUACGUCAACAAGAUGAAAUGAUAGUGCUACCAUGAAUCUACGGUGUGACAAUUGUGUACAUCUCUUUGGUCUUGGUCAACUUUCAUCUUUCCCUCCUUGGUGAGCAUUUUCCCCUUUGUGAUCUCUGAUUCGACCACCCCGGGGAUAAUCUCUGUUAUGUGGACAUCCCCGCCAAGCUCCAUUCGGAGCGUGUCGUAGAAAUUCAGCACUGCUGCUUUGCUAGCCUGCCAUUCAUAAACCAGUCAUUUGCAUUGGAAACAUGUUCACAUGUACUUUUGCAUCUGAUCCAGAAUUUUAGGUGGUGUUUAACUAUUAAUGCUAGCUAGCAUGGAUAAGGGAUUUGAGUACCGACAUUGUAGAAGCUGUUCCUUCCAAUGAAUAUGUAGGAGGAGUUGGAGGUGACACCGACGAUCCGGCCAUGGGUCCUCUUCAAGUGAGGAAUGGCAUGGCGAGUUGGGUACACAUGGCCCCAGAAGUUGAUGUCCUACAUGCAACAUAAAUGAGAUGACUGAUUUUGGCCUAAAUUUGUGUGAAGAACUGAAAACGGCUUGUAGUUGCAUACCAUCAGUGUUCUGAAGUUGUUUACGUCCUCCACCUCUUCGAACCUGCAGACCUGCCAAAUCGACGCGUUGUUCACCAGGUGGUCCACUGCAAACAUAAAUAGAUCGGGUGAUCUUAUUGCACGGUUGACAAUCUUGGCAUAGUCCACCAAAAAUGUCAAUGAUAAUUGAACUACGUAUGGUUCAGUUAGCCGCAUAUUGUACCUCCAUAGAUGUCCAGUGGUUCGUCUAAAUUUGGAUGUAUCUAUACCUAAAAAAUGUCUAGAUACAUUUGAAUUUAGACAAAUUUUUGACAUCUAAAAAUGGACAGAUGUAGUAUAACUUAUGUGUGUCAUUCACGAAAACUCACUUUGUAGCUACUUCAAAAUAUGAUUUUCAAAUUUUCCAUGAAAAUGCUGCACUUGUGUCAUUCAGCUCAGACUUACAUCUUCCAAAGUAGGCAACUGUGUCGUUGACGAACUUUUGGCAGUCAUCAGGCUUGGAGACAUCUGCCGGCAAGACGAGGACGCCCGGCGCUCCGAGCGCCGAUGCGUUGUCGGCGACCUCCCCUAGGCUCGCCUCCCUUCUCGCCACCAGCGCGAGAGCCAGAGAUGUAUACCUCGCCUAUCCCGGAGGAGGCGCCGGUGAUGAGGACGACCUUGCCGGAGACGUCCUCGGGGAAGACAGAGCUGAGGAGGGAGGUGGUGAGCUUGUAAACGUAGUAGGCCGGGAGGAAGAGCACGAGCGGCGCGGCGAGCGCCACCUCCAUAGCCAGUCCACCGAGCUUGCUCAUCAGCAUCGUCGUCGGCGCCCUAGCUUGCAGAUUGACACUGCUGAAGUAUGCUCUGGACCUGCGCAGAGCGGUGCCUAUAUGCUGGCAUGAGUUUUCAGCGGCGCAUGAGACGCGUGGAAAGACCUUAACGCAUGCGGAUGGCCAUCUCAGCUGCUACGUGCCUGUGCAGCAGCCCCGGCCGAUUUUUUGGCACCUGUUUUGCACCACUGAUCGCCACAUCAGUCCGUAAGCCAAUUCCAAUUCCGUAACCAAUCCAUCCGUAA